rnacentral:piRNA from 1 species
UAGCGCACAUAAAUGUCUAUUUAGCCACAUG